UGGGGAAUCUUGCACAACGGAGGAAACUCUGAUGCAGCGACGCCGCGUGAGCGAAGAAGCCUUUCGGGGUGUAAAGCUCUUACGCCAGGGACGAUAAUGACGGUACCUGGAGAAGCAGCUGCGGCUAACUACGUGCCAGCAGCCGCGGUAAUACGUAGGCAGCAAGCGUUGUUCGGAAUUACUGGGCGUAAAGGGUGCGUAGGCGGCGCUCUAAGUUUGGUGUGAAAUCUCCCGGCUUAACUGGGAGGGUGCACUGAAAACUGGGGCGCUCGAGUAUGGGAGAGGAAAGCGGAAUUCCUGGUGUAGCGGUGAAAUGCGUAGAGAUCAGGAGGAACACCUGCGGUGCAGACGGCUUUCUGGACCAUCACUGACGCUGAGGCACGAAAGCGUGGGUAGCAAACA
rnacentral:rRNA from 1 species